rnacentral:rRNA from 1 species
AUUGAACGCUGGCGGCAGGCCUAACACAUGCAAGUCGAGCGGAGCGGCGGACGGGUGAGUAAUGCCUAGGAAUCUGCCUGGUAGUGGGGGAUAACGUCCGGAAACGGGCGCUAAUACCGCAUACUAUCAGAUGAGGCUAGGUCGGAUUAGCGAGUUGGUGGGGUAAAGGCCUACCAGGGCGACGAUCCGUAACUGGUCUGAGAGGAUGAUCAGUAACACUGGAACUGAGACACGGUCCCGACUCCUACGGGAGGCAUCAGUGGGGAAUAUUGUGCAAUGGGCGAAAGCCUGACCCAGCCAUGCCGCGUGUGUGACGAAGGUCUUCGGAUUGUAAAGCACUUUCAGCGGGGAGGCGUUACCCGCAGAAGAAGCACCGGCUAACUCCGUGCCAGCAGCCGCGGUAAUUC